GAUGAACGCUGGCGGCGUGCCUAAUACAUGCAAGUCGAGCGAAUGGAUUAAGAGCUUGCUCUUAUGAAGUUAGCGGCGGACGGGUGAGUAACACGUGGGUAACCUGCCCAUAAGACUGGGAUAACUCCGGGAAACCGGGCUAAUACCGGAUAACAUUUUGAACCGCAUGGUUCGAAAUUGAAAGGCGGCUUCGGCUGUCACUUAUGGAUGGACCCGCGUCGCAUUAGCUAGUUGGUGAGGUAACGGCUCACCAAGGCAACGAUGCGUAGCCGACCUGGGAGGGUGAUCGGCCACACUGGGACUGAGACACGGCCCAGACUCCUACGGGAGGUAGCAGUAGGGAAUCUUCCGCAAUGGACGAAAGUCUGACGGAGCAACGCCGCGUGAGUGAUGAAGGCUUUCGGGUCGUAAAACUCUGUUGUUAGGGAAGAACAAGUGCUAGUUGAAUAAGCUGGCACCUUGACGGUACCUAACCAGAAAGCCACGGCUAACUACGUGCCAGCCGCCGCCGUAA
rnacentral:rRNA from 1 species